AUGGUCGUUUUUGUGACACCACAUCAGACUCUGCUCCUUUGUGACAUGCUGGGCAAGUCUUCAGAGUGUCGCGCACAGAAAAAGAACGAUUUAAAAGUAGGUGAUAUUGAGAAGGGCAAGAAGAUUUUUGUUCAGAAGUGUGCCCAGUGCCAUACUGUGGAAAAGGGAGGGAAGCACAAGACUGGGCCAAACCUCCAUGGUCUGUUUGGACGGAAGACAGGUCAGGCUGCUGGAUUCUCUUACACAGAUGCCAACAAAAACAAAGGUAUCACCUGGGGAGAGGAGACGCUGAUGGAGUACUUGGAGAAUCCCAAGAAGUACAUCCCUGGAACCAAGAUGAUCUUUGCUGGCAUUAAGAAGAAGGGAGAGAGGGAGGACUUGAUAGCUUACCUCAAAAAAGCUACCAAUGAGUAAUAGUUGGUCACUGCCUUAUUUAUUAUGAAACAGAAGUGUCUCAUGACUUUUUAUGUGUACCAUAUUUAAACUGAUCUCAUACACUA